GACGAACGCUGGCGGCGUGCCUAAUACAUGCAAGUCGAGCGGACUUGAUGGAGUGCUUGCACUCCUGAGAGUUAGCGGCGGACGGGUGAGUAACACGUAGGCAACCUGCCCUCGAGACUGGGAUAACUACCGGAAACGGUAGCUAAUACCGGAUAAUUUAUUUCRCAGCAUUGUGGAAUAAUGAAAGACGGAGCAAUCUGUCACUUGGGGAUGGGCCUGCGGCGCAUUAGCUAGUUGGUGGGGUAAYGGCUCACCAAGGCGACGAUGCGUAGCCGACCUGAGAGGGUGAACGGCCACACUGGGACUGAGACACGGCCCAGACUCCUACGGGAGGCAGCAGUAGGGAAUCUUCCGCAAUGGGCGAAAGCCUGACGGAGCAACGCCGCGUGAGUGAUGAAGGUUUUCGGAUCGUAAAGC
rnacentral:rRNA from 1 species